GGGCCCUCCUGCCUUAAAAGUGGUGGAGAUUUAGGGUUUGGUGCUUCAAAACCCUGAAUACCCCAUAAAAAAGGGUUUUCCUUUCCUUCCUUUCUAUCCUUUCCUUCCUUGCAGCAUCUCAUCCCUGGAGAUGAUUUAUCAUCUAAUGAUUUAUUAGGGUUGGCUGCUGUGGGAGUGAUGCUGGAUGAAUGCUAACUCUCCUGCAUCCCCUAAAUGUGGGGAAAAAAUUUUUUUUGGGAGUCAGGGAAGGGCAGGGACAUCCAGGAUGGGUCCUGGUUCAUCAGCUGAUGCUGCUGCCUCUGAGAUUUGGUGCCCUUGCUGCUGGGCACAUCAAGAGCCAUGGCUGUGAUUUGAUACAAUUUGAGAAAGCCUUAAAUGCUGAGGGGAGUGAGGAGAAGGGAUUUUAGAUGCUUUCAGAGAGAAUGGACUAUCAGCAAUCCCAGGACCUGCAGUACCAGCUGGAAAUCACCCAAACCCAGGAGUUGUGUUGUUUUUAUUCAGUCAUCCUCAGUCCCUGGAGAGGAUCUUCCUUCCUGCCCAGGUGAUGGGGAGUUGGGAGAGCACAGCCUGAACUUUUGGGUGAGAAGCCUCUGAUACACCAAGGUUUUAGCCAAAAUCAACUGCUUGAGCUUCAGUUUCCCCUUCCUGAACCACUUUCUGCUCUGUCUUUGGCCUGAAAUUCUCAGAUGCUGUAUUUAAAACAAUUUCUUUGGUGAACUGGAACAUCCAAGAGAUAUGUGAGGUUUAUUUUUUGCUCUUUUUGUGUUUUAAAAUGAAUAACUUUGCAUCACGGUGAUGAAUAAAUGAAGCAAAAUAA